ensembl:lncRNA
UGGAUAAUGACACCAGUCAGGAAAAAGACUCCAGGGCAUACGACAGAGGGAGCCUUAGCACAUGGGUGAAAAAUCCUCUCCUCGCUGCGUCGGGGCCAGCUAUGUGGUUUGGACUUAACACGGGGAUGCUCUGUCUCAGGAGACGGCUUUCUAUGCUGCAGCAGCAAUAUGUCUGGAUAUGCACCAACCAAAGGAAGAGGGACUGCAAGCAAUCAAACGUGGCAGUGAAGAAAUAAAAAUCACCACAGCCAGGAUAACCACCAGUAAACACAGCAGCAGAACCUAUAACCCAGAAGAUAAAAUGGCAAGAUGUUUGUUAAAGCUGUUAGAGAUAGCAGCCACUAAUUUCACAUUGUUUAUUUUGAACUAUUUGAACUUUGAGAAAAGAAAAAGGUUCAAGCACUACAAAAUCUCGUCUCUCUCAAGAGAAGACACAAAUUAACAAAACUAAAUCACGUCCACACUCAAAGCUUCAGCUCUAGAGAGAGCAGUGUUGGCUGUUGUACAGCAAGUAUUAGAUGGGAUCCUCUUCACCUAAUGACUAAAUCAUGCUGUUAUUUUGCCUCUUAGCAUCACUAACACGAGGCUGACAUUACAGGCUCUUAAAAUAAUAUUAAUGGACCGAUCAUGAAUAAAUUUGUUGUAUCCACAGUUCGCAGAGGAACCCAGCUGACUCGCAUGAUCCUCUUAAAUUUCCAAGUUUUCUUUUCAAAAAAUGUGAUGCAGCUGCAGAUGCAGACUGAGAAUCACAAAAACAGCCAAGCUACGAGACGGUCAAGAACAAACGGGCUCAGUGUUUCUCUGUACUUCACUGUCUUCAAUUCCGUUUAAAAACUGUGUCUGGAAAAAAUUAUUUUAUUGAAUCGUUUAUUUACACUUUACGCACCAGAGACAGCAUGCUAUUUUUCCCCAGAUCCUCGUCCAACGGGGGAAAACCCCUGAUCGGAUUACAACUCUGUGUGCAUUGUUACUAAACUACAAUCAUGUAAAAAAAAGAAAAGAAAAAAAGAAAAAACAUACAGAGUUUGACGUCUCCAAGUUAAAAUAAAAAUGUACAUGUCUUAUGCAACUUUGUUACUUUUUUACUGUUAAGAAUUGGCAUUUGGGACCUGUUGAAUUACACUAGGGUGGCAAACACUACUCGAUCACCAUGCUAUUGUUUUCUGUAUACUUCUAAUUAUGCUUACAUUAGCUUUUAGCUCAAAGCCCUACUCCAUUACUGCAGCUGAAGAGGUUUAGAUAUGUUGCUUUAUUCAGUUAUCCUUCUACCGUCCACCGAGACUUCCAUCUGUAUCCUCACAGGCUCAACUGUUGAUUUUAACAAUUUCCACACCAUCUCCAUCUGUCUAUAUAUUAGUCUCAGCUCUCUGCAGUUGGAAGUAGUGAUCCAGAAUUGUUUUUGUUUGUUUUUUUAAAAAUCACAACCUUUCUGCCCCAGGACAGCAGCUCCCUGGGGGCGAGUGGUUUGUAAUUAGAUGGG